rnacentral:rRNA from 1 species
ACGGAGGGUGCGAGCGUUGUUCGGAAUCACUGGGCUUAAAGGGCGCGUAGGCGGGCAGCCGCGUCCGGGGUGAAAUCCCACGGCUCAACCGUGGAACGGCCUCGGAUACGGGCGGCCUCGAGGGGGGUAGGGGCAUCUGGAACUGUGAGUGGAGCGGUGAAAUGCGUUGAUAUUCACAGGAACUCCGGUGGCGAAGGCGAGGUGCUGGACCCCUUCUGACGCUGAGGCGCGAAAGCCAGGGGAGCGAACGGGA